rnacentral:misc_RNA from 1 species
GCCAAAUAGUUCAAACACUUGAAACCAAGUCAUCAGUGACCAGUGCAGAAGUAAGUCAGGAUGGACGCUAUAUCACAACUGCUGAUGGAUCUACUGUUAAAUUCUGGGAUGCAAAUCACUUUGGCUUAGUCAAGAGCUACAACAUGCCUUGCACUGUAGAAUCUGCUUCCCUGGAACCUAAGUAUGGGAUGAAGUUCAUUGCCGG